rnacentral:rRNA from 1 species
UACGUAGGGUCCGAGCGUUGUCCGGAAUUACUGGGCGUAAAGAGCUCGUAGGUGGUUUGUCGCGUUGUUCGUGAAAACUCACAGCUCAACUGUGGGCGUGCGGGCGAUACGGGCAGACUUGAGUACUGCAGGGGAGACUGGAAUUCCUGGUGUAGCGGUGAAAUGCGCAGAUAUCAGGAGGAACACCAACGGCGAAGGCAGCACUCUGGGCCGGUACUGACGCUGAGGAGCGAAAGCGUGGGGAGCAAACAGG